CAGCCGCCGCGGUAAUACCGGCGGCCCGAGUGGCGGUCACUAUUAUUGGGCUUAAAGCGUCCGUAGCCGGGGUGGGAAGUCCUCCGGGAAAUCUGGCCGCUUAACGGUCAGAAUGCCGGAGGAUACUCCCAGCCUAGGGAGCGGGAGAGGCCGAGGGGAUUCCCGGAGUAGGGGUGAAAUCCUAUAAUCCCGGGAGGACCACCUGUGGCGAAGGCGCUCGGCUGGAACGCGUCCGACGGUGAGGGACGAAGGCCAGGGGAGCAAACCGGAUUAGAUACCCGGGUAGUCCUGGCUGUAAACGCUGCCUGCUUGAUGUUAGUCUGGCUCCGGGCCAGGCUAGUGUCGGAGAGAAGUUGUUAAGCAGGCUGCCUGGGGAGUACGGUCGCAAGACUGAAACUUAAAGGAAUUGGCGGG
rnacentral:rRNA from 1 species